rnacentral:rRNA from 1 species
GACGAACGCUGGCGGCGUGCUUAACACAUGCAAGUCGAACGGAAAGGCCCCUUUGGGGGUACUCGAGUGGCGAACGGGUGAGUAACACGUGAGUAACCUGCCCUUGACUUCGGGAUAACUUCAGGAAACUGGGGCUAAUACCGGAUAGGAAUCCUUGCUGCAUGGUGGGGGUUGGAAAGCUUCGGCGGUUUUGGAUGGACUCGCGGCUUAUCAGCUUGUUGGUGGGGUAGUGGCUUACCAAGGCUUUGACGGGUAGCCGGCCUGAGAGGGCGACCGGCCACAUUGGGACUGAGAUACGGCCCAGACUCCUACGGGAGGCAGCAGUGGGGAAUCUUGCACAAUGGGCGGAAGCCUGAUGCAGCAACGCCGCGUGCGGGAUGACGGCCUUCGGGUUGUAAACCGCUUUCAGCAGGGGCGAAGCUUGUGGUGACGGUACCUGCAGAAGAAGCACCGGCUAACUACGUG